rnacentral:rRNA from 1 species
AAACGUAGGAGACGAGCGUUAUCCGGAUUUACUGGGCGUAAAGCGCGUGCAGGCGGCAUGGCUAGUUGGAUGUGAAAGCUCCCGGCUUAACUGGGAGAGGUCGUUCAAUACUGCCAGGCUUGAGAGUGGUAGAGGGAAGCGGAAUUCCGGGUGUAGUGGUGAAAUGCGUAGAUAUCCGGAGGAACACCAGUGGCGAAAGCGGCUCCUGCCAUUUCUGACGCUAAGACGCGAAAGCUAGGGUAGC